rnacentral:rRNA from 1 species
AGAGUUUAGAUACAUGGCUCAGACACGCAACGCUGAGNGGCACGCAAUNACACAUGACAAGUCGANCNCNCCUUCNGGGGCANAGCGGCGGACGGGUUAGUAACGCGUGGGAACGUACCCNNNUCUACGGAAUAGCNUNGGGAAACNGAGAGUAAUACCGUAUACGCCCUUCGGGGGAAAGAUUUAUCGGNNNAGGAUNGGCCCGCGUUAGAUUAGAUAGUUGGUGGGGUAANGGCCUACCAAGUCUACGAUCUAUAGCUGGUUUNAGAGGAUGAUCAGCAACACUGGGACUGAGACACGGCCCAGACUCCUACGGGAGGCAGCAGUGGGGAAUCUUAGACAAUGGGCGCAAGCCUGAUCUAGCCAUGCCGCGUGAGUGAUGAAGGCCUUAGGGUCGUAAAGCUCUUUCGCCAGGGAAGAUAAUGACAGUACCUGGUAAAGAAGCCCCGGCANNNCG